rnacentral:tRNA from 1 species
GGAGAGAUGGCAGAGCGGUUGAAUGCGGCGGUCUUGAAAACCGUUGUCCGUUUUUCGACGGACCGGGGGUUCGAAUCCCUCUCUCUCCGCCA